CCUACGGGUGGCUGCAGUGAGGAAUAUUGGUCAAUGGCCGAGAGGCUGAACCAGCCAAGUCGCGUGAGGGAAGACGGCCCUACGGGUUGUAAACCUCUUUUGUCGGGGAGCAAAGAGAGUCACGUGUGACUCAUUGAGAGUACCCGAAGAAAAAGCAUCGGCUAACUCCGUGCCAGCAGCCGCGGUAAUACGGGGGAUGCGAGCGUUAUCCGGAUUUAUUGGGUUUAAAGGGUGCGCAGGCGGAGGUGCAAGUCAGCGGUCACAUGGCGGGGCGCAACCCCGUACUGCCGUUGAAACUGCAUGCCUUGAGUGCGCGAGAAGUAUGCGGAAUGCGUGGUGUAGCGGUGAAAUGCAUAGAGAUCACGCAGAACUCCGAUUGCGAAGGCAGCAUACCGGCGCGCAACUGACGCUCAUGCACGAAAGCGUGGGUAUCGAACAGGAUUAGAUACCCCUGUAGUC
rnacentral:rRNA from 1 species